CCGCCACCGGCCCGGCCACCCCGGGCUGGGAGGGGGUUGGGUGCCUGUCGCGACUCGCCCUUUGUGCGGCGCGGCGCAGGACACGGCGGCAGCCGGGGGUCUUUGUCCUCGGCCGGCCGGGGGGACCGGGGGAUCCCAGCCGGGGCGCCCCCUCCCCGGGCGCUCCCGGGCUCACCCACUGCAGCUACCGCGGGCCCUCCGGCCCGGCCGCCGCCGCUGCAGCCUCCGGCUCGGGCCGCUCGGCCUCCGCUCCUGUAGGCGGCGGGGCGGCGGCGGCUCGCGGAGCCCGGGACCCGGGAGGCUAGCGCGCACCCAGCCGGGGGCCGCCGGCGCCCGCUCGCGGUCCGGCCAGGGGCUCCACGGGCCCGGGCGCCUCUUCAUUUUCUUUUUGGUGUGGCGGCGGCCGCCAGGCCGGAGCUGGGCUGGGGGAGGGGCGCGGCGGUGUUGGGUUUCAGGCGGUGAGUCAGGCCCCCCCGCCGCCCGGGCUGGCACCCCCGCCCGCCGGCCCCCACCUCCGUCCUGCGGGGGCCACUGCGCGCCCUGGAAAACCCCAGGAGGGGCGCUUCGGCCCGAAGAAAGGCGGAGUCGGGACGAAGGGAGGCUACGAGGCUGCACCCGGGGCCCUCCAACACCGUCCAGGACUCCGGCGGGCACAGCCGCUUGGGAGGGUAGCAGAGUUGGGGGUGUGGAAGAAAUGGGGCGCUCAAGGCACGGAGACGAAGCUGGAUCCGCGUAGAGGCCCACCCUGCCGCGAAGCAGCCAUCAGCAGUGGACUAAUCAGGGACCUGGGAUGGAUCAGGGGCCCGGGCCUCUUGAUCUUGGCCCCCAAGGAGCCUUGGGAGUUUUCCUUUAACUGGAAGGGCCACAUCCACGCGAUGGCGACAGCAACCGUACCCCACCAGGUGAGGGUCAGUCAGGAACCCUCCAACCAUGGGAGCUGUCCCGGUUCUCCAAAGAGGAGGCAAGGGAAAAAUCAGGAAGAAGGCAAGGGGGGAAAAAGGCGUGGGUUUGUUGUUGUUGUUGUUGUUGUUUUAAUAAAUGGUGCAAGAGCCGUGCGUUCUGCAAAUCCCGGGCAAUUCUUUACUUUUCCACCAGUGAACGCCCUUGAGCUUCCUCUUCAGCUCCCAGGUUCAUCCCUUCCUCCGCAUUCCUGCUGUCUUCACUCCUGUCUACCCCUUAUCACCUUACACUGGACUCCCCUGGGCUCUGGCAACAGCCUGCCCUCCCCGGAACCUCCUCCCCGGAAACUCCUCCCUGCAGCCCUAGUAAUGGCCCAAAACACCCCAGUCAUAUCUCCACACACGUGCCUCUGCUGCAUUCUAGCAAUCUGUCCAAACUUUAUUUCCACUGAUGCUUGACGUUAAACCCCUCUGCCCCUUCCUGUCCUCCCUAAGAGCUACCACAUAAUACAUAGGCAAAGUUAAUGUUUAUUCAAAUCUAUUCUGUCCACCACACUUGCAGGGCUUCUCUGCCCCCAUCCUAAACUGUUUCUGCCUUUUUUCCCAGUGCCUGGGAUGAAAUGUUUUACCACUGAUUUAUACUCUCACCCACCCCUGUGUUCUGGUUUUAUACAAAUAACUGUGCAUGUAAAUUCAAGAAUCAAGUAAGUGAUAUGCAGAGUGAGUCCUGGUUCCCAGUGAAUUGACUGCAUGACCUUGGGCAAAUGACUUAACCUCUCAAAGCCUCAGUUUCCUCUUCUUAAAACAGAAAUUACCUGAUAGGUUUUUCAGGUAAACACAUCGCUUCUGCAGUAGUAAUUAAAAUUGUUCACCGAGUAUCUUCUGUUCUUUUCCUUCCCCUGAGAUAUGGUAGAAAUCUACCAUCCCAACCCACUUCAGAUUAGAUGUGGCCAUAUGACUUGCGGAGGUCAGUAGAAUGAAGGCACAAGUAAUUGUGCUUUUUCCACAUGGAGACUUCAGAGUUAGGUUGUAUACAACCAGAGAUAUGAAAAAUUGUGCUCUGAAUGUGUAAUAAGAAUUGUAAUGCAUUCUGCUGUCUUAUAUAAAUGUUUAAAAAGGAAGAAAAAAAAAGCUUCUUUUCUUUUUUCUGAUCUUGACUAUCAGGGGAGUGUAGAGUUAGAGAGCCUGGGUGUCUAGGUAAAGGUGGUAGAACACUGCCAGGUAGCUUGUAUUAGAAAAGUCGGGUGAGUAAAGAUUAACCUUUUCUCGUAUUAAACCAGUGAAUUUAAUGGGUGUUUGUUACAGCGGCAUAACCUAAUUGAUACUUCCAAGUGCAAAGGACUUAAUCCAUGUCUGUUGAUAGACUGCACCUAUCCUAUGCUGGUACCAUUUUAUGACAAUCCCUCCUCUGUAAGGUAGCUGUUAUAAUUCAGUUGGGGAAAUCAUAUCAGAAAGGCCUAGUACUUUGCAGCACCAGGAUCAAAACCCUACCUCUCCAGUUCCAAAAUUCUUGCUCACCCUGACUUCCAAACAUGCCAGGCCACCUCUCCUUAAAUGGGAAGGAUGAAAAAACACCCAGUACAAUGCCUGGCAUGCAGUCAUGCCCAAGCCCUGAGACUUCCUCUCCAGCCAGAAUUCCUACAGCAUUGAUAAUUUGAACCACUCUCCUCCAGCAUGAUGUUAUCAUGCAUUGUGUGAGUGUUUUCACACAGAGAAAGCAUUUCCUCCAACCAGGGCCCAGGCUCCUUGGUUAAAAGUGUGAGUUUCAGAGUCACACGAAGUGGAUUUAAAUCCCUGUUCCACCACUUUCUCUGAGGAUCUUGGACAAUUAUUUUUUCCACUCUGUCUCAGUUUUUUCAUUUGUAGAUGAUGAUAACAAUAUAUGUGUCAUUGGCUGGGGUCACCAUAUGUUUCACAGGGUUGGUGUGGAGUUUAAGGGGUCUAACACACUUGAUGAAUCACAGUUGUUAAUAUUAUUUCUUUUCUUCCACAGCUCCUAGAAUUCUGAGCAAUUACAAGCAAUUCAAUCAUGCUGCUUGGUUAGACUCUGAUUUCUGGUUUUGUGCUGAAUACAGGAAAGAAGUUGUAACAUCUGCACUUGGAAGCAUAACAUCCACACUAUCCUACAUCUUAUAUUUUACAUAAGGCUCAUUACCUGUCCUUGAUUACAUUUGAUAUUUCAAAUCGAUUUAAAAGAAAGGUGUGUUUGCUUUCUUGAGAAAUCUUUGUUCGGGAAACAUAUUAAUGCCAUUUAUCCACCUA
rnacentral:lncRNA from 1 species